rnacentral:rRNA from 1 species
AUUGAACGCUGGCGGCAUGCUUUACACACGCAAGUCGAACGGCAGCGCGGGCUUCGGCCUGGCGGCGAGUGGCGAACGGGUGAGUAAUGCAUCGGUACGUGCCCAGUAGUGGGGGAUAGCCCGGCGAAAGCCGGAUUAAUACCGCAUACGACCUGAGGGUGAAAGCGGGGGACCGAAAGGCCUCGCGCUAUUGGAGCGGCCGAUGUCGGAUUAGCUAGUUGGUGGGGUAAAGGCUUACCAAGGCGACGAUCCGUAGCUGGUCUGAGAGGACGACCAGCCACACUGGGACUGAGACACGGCCCAGACUCCUACGGGAGGCAGCAGUGGGGAAUUUUGGACAAUGGGGGCAACCCUGAUCCAGCCAUGCCGCGUGCGGGAAGAAGGCCUUCGGGUUGUAAACCGCUUUUGUUCGGGAAGAAAUCCUCUGGGCUAAUACCCCGGGGGGAUGACGGUACCGGAAGAAUAAGCACCGGCUAACUACGUG